UACAGAGGUCCCGAGCGUUGUUCGGAUUCACUGGGCGUAAAGGGUGCGUAGGUGGUGGGGUAAGUCUCGUGUGAAAGCUCGCAGCUUAACUGCGAAAAGUCAUGGGAUACUAUUCUGCUGGAGGCUUGGAGGGGGGACUGGAAUACUUGGUGUAGCAGUGAAAUGCGUAGAUAUCAAGUGGAACACCAGUGGCGAAGGCGAGUCCCUGGACAAGACCUGACACUGAGGCACGAAAGCCAGGGGAGCAAACAGG
rnacentral:rRNA from 1 species